rnacentral:rRNA from 1 species
UACGUAGGGUGCAAGCGUUAAUCGGAAUUACUGGGCGUAAAGCGUGCGCAGGCGGCUUUGCAAGACAGAUGUGAAAUCCCCGGGCUCAACCUGGGAACUGCAUUUGUGACUGCAAGGCUGGAGUACGGCAGAGGGGGAUGGAAUUCCGCGUGUAGCAGUGAAAUGCGUAGAUAUGCGGAGGAACACCGAUGGCGAAGGCAAUCCCCUGGGCCUGUACUGACGCUCAUGCACGAAAGCGUGGGGAGCAAACAGG